UACGAAGGGGGCUAGCGCUGUUCGGAAUCACUGGGCGUAAAGCGCACGCAGGCGGAUCGAUAAGUCGGGGGUGAAAGCCCGGGGCUCAACCCCGGAAUUGCCUUCGAUACUGUCGGUCUCGAGUCCGGGAGAGGUGAGUGGAAUUCCUAGUGUAGAGGUGAAAUUCGUAGAUAUUAGGAAGAACACCAGUGGCGAAGGCGGCUCACUGGCCCGGUACUGACGCUCAGGUGCCAAAGCGUGGGGAGCAAACAGG
rnacentral:rRNA from 1 species